UCGAGAAAAACAAAACAAACCUCCCUCGAACCCUCGGUCUUCCCUAUCGCGUCGGCCGCACGCCGCCCUCCACCGUGCCGCGUCUGCCGCACGCAUCGCACCACGGAGCUGAACGCCGCCGCCGCUCGCAUCACGCUAUAGAUCCGGCCCCCACCGCCGCGCCUCUGUCCGUCGCUGGAGCUCCGCACGCCAGAGGGACACACCGCCCUGUCGGGAUUGUUUCGCCACUGCGGGGGCCCCGGCACCCCAACAUCCGAGUGCCGCCGCCGUCCUCGCCUCGGGUGCUCCGCCACCACCGCCUCGGCUCUGCCGCUGCGCGAAUCCGCUCUUCCCUCGAGCGGAUCGGGGCCGGACGGCGGCGAAUGGAGCUCCGAGCUCCGGUGUCACGGGCCCUCCCCAGCGUCAUGGAUAUCAGCCGCGAGCAACAGGCGGCGGCCUAGCUCAAAGCUCGGAGGCGGGGUGGCCGGGCGGCGGCGAGCAGCGGGGCAGCGGCGCAGCGGGGCUCCGAUAGGCGUGGCCCGCGGCAUGGUCCCUCGCCGGUGGGACCAAGUGGUUGGCACCCCGGCCGCGCGUCCUCGCAGCGCUCCCUCGCCAGCGCUCCCGCGCUCCGGAUCUCGCCCUCCCCGCAGUGGCGGCGGCGUUAUCCGCUUCCUCCCUGGCCGGCUGGGGUCCAUGGCAUCCGUGGCCAGCGAGGCCCUCCUCCCUACCCCCUCCUUGACCGGCGCGGCCCUCCUCCCUCCCCCUCCCUGGGCGGCGUGGGUCCAUGGCCGGCGCGCCCUCCUCCGGCCAUGCACGGCCGCCAGCUCGCCUCGCGAUUUGCUUGGCUGCCGGCCUGACGUGCACCUUCUUGAUGAGUGACUGAGUUUGCCUGCCCUCGCUGCCUCUUGGUCCCAGUUAGGGACAACAAUAUUGUUUCUGAUUAGUUCUAGCUGAAAUUUGUAUUGUUCCAUGAAAUGAUUAUAAGUACUCUUACGAUUGUUAAUAAGUCAGGCAACCAACUAAUUGGUCUCAGCUGGGACAAUGAUAUUGUUUCUGAUUAGUUCUAGCUGAAAUUGGUAUUGUUCCAGAAGUGAUUGGAAGCACUUAAUUAUCACUAUAUGGUGUUAAACUUUCAAGGCAGCAUAUAACAGCUAGCAUAGCAGUCCUCCAGAUAUAUGCAUCAUGAUAAUCUAGCAUUUAAAUAAUAAAAGGAAAGCACAAUGCAAUUUUUGUUUCUCUCUCAUGAUUGCACUUGUAUUCAUAUAUUUAUACCUACCCUGUUAUAAUUACCUUAUAUAUAUAUCCCCACAUUCAAACUCUUAUGGAUUAUUUGACAUUUUUCAUGUCUAUCGUUCCAGCCAAUGAUUGUUUUCUUCAAUACGGUGAAAUUUGGGGUAACAUAGACCCUUGGCAACUUGAUGGCCCUUGGAAGAGGCUAAAAUUGCUCGAUGCUGUCACAGCUGGUGACCAUCUUAAUAUGGACAUUCUUUGUGUUAGACGAGAAGGAAAUUUUACUCUGUGGAUGUGUUUGUGUAAUCAACAUAAUAACUCUAUCCUUUGUGUAAAACAUAUAUUUCUCAGUUUGGACUAUGGAUCAUGGGAUCAUGUGUUGUUUGGUGUACGUCUGAAAUUUACUCGUGGCGCUAGCAAGGGCACCUUACUAGUCUUAUGUAAGUGAGAAUAGUUCCGCGAUCCUGGGAGCAAAGGAUGGCCGCACUGUUGAUAGCCUCACUAAAGUAAUUGUAGACAAGAACAGCGAGUAUAGAAAGAGUGCAGCCGAUAUCCUGAAGAAUCUGUGCAGUCAUUACACCACGAAUGAAGACAUUCAUUUCCAAAAGCUGAAGAACGCAAUGAUCGAUGAUGUGAUUCCAAAGGUGCUGAGGGAAGUGCUUGACUGUAGGCCGAUAGCAGAGCCCAGGCUACCCUCUCCCAAUCCAAUAUACUACUCAGGCUACCAGUACCCUAUGUACUCAGUAAAUAAUUACAAUUACACAUACAACUUUGGCCCAUCCCAGUACUCCAUGCCCUUGGACAGUCCAUACAAAGUGGAAGAGCAGGAGGCACUGUCAUCGCUUUGCGUAGCCGUACACGCUAGACUGAUCAGCCAAGAUCCUGAUUUGGCCUCUCGGUUCGACCAAAUAGGUAAGGAGAUCGGCCGGGACAUGGGGGAGGACAUGGUUGUGGCGAGCAAAAGAAGGUGCUGGGGGACAGCGGCUUCGCCGAUGAUUUUGUACGAAAGCCCCAACGGCGCGUGUUGUAUCUCGUGACUAUGUGCGUACGAGUACAUCUUGUUACAAUUCCCUAGCUCGUGUCAGCUAGCAUGCCUGGACUUGUCGUGUUCUUGAGACGUCAUGUCUUGAGUUGUUUGCGUCUAAUGGAUGAUUAUCUCGAUUUAUAAUUGGUUUUCAGUGAA